rnacentral:rRNA from 1 species
GAUGAACGCUAGCGGCAGGCCUAACACAUGCAAGUCGAGGGAGAAGCCCUUUCGGGGGCAGAAACCGGCGCACGGGUGCGUAACGCGUAUGCAACCUACCUUUCACAGGGGGAUAGCCCGAAGAAAUUUGGAUUAAUACCCCAUAAUAUUAUUGGAUGGCAUCAUUUGAUAAUUAAAACUGCGGUGGUGAAAGAUGGGCAUGCGUCCUAUUAGCUAGUUGGAGUGGUAACGGCACCCCAAGGCUACGAUAGGUAGGGGUCCUGAGAGGGAGAUCCCCCACACUGGUACUGAGACAGGGACCAGACUCCUACGGGAGGCAGCAGUGAGGAAUAUUGGUAAAUGGUCGGAAGACUGAACCAGCCAUGCCGCGUGCAGGAAGAAUGCCUUAUGGGUUGUAAACUGCUUUUAUAUGGGAAGAAUAAGGCGUACGUGUACGUUGAUGACGGUACCAUAUGAAUAAGCAUCGGCUAACUCCGUG